AUUGCACUCCGGAUGUGCUGACCCCUGCGAUUUCC
rnacentral:piRNA from 2 species